CAGUCGCCGCGGUAAUACGAAGGGGGCUAGCGUUGCUCGGAAUCACUGGGCGUAAAGGGUGCGUAGGCGGGUCUUUAAGUCAGGGGUGAAAUCCUGGAGCUCAACUCCAGAACUGCCUUUGAUACUGAGGAUCUUGAGUUCGGGAGAGGUGAGUGGAACUGCGAGUGUAGAGGUGAAAUUCGUAGAUAUUCGCAAGAACACCAGUGGCGAAGGCGGCUCACUGGCCCGAUACUGACGCUGAGGCACGAAAGCGUGGGGAGCAAACAGGAUUAGAUACCCCUGUAGUCCCUGUCUCUUAUAC
rnacentral:rRNA from 1 species